rnacentral:rRNA from 1 species
UAAACGACUCUCGGCAACGGAUAUCUCGGCUCUCGCAUCGAUGAAGAACGUAGCGAAAUGCGAUACUUGGUGUGAAUUGCAGAAUCCCGUGAACCAUCGAGUCUUUGAACGCAAGUUGCGCCCGAGGCCUCGGCCAAGGGCACGUCUGCCUGGGCGUCACGC